GUUCCUACACAUUUCUCGCUGUAGAAGAAAGCCUCCUCAAGCUUGGCGUGUAGAAGGAUGGACACCCAACCUUUGGGAAUGAAAAGAGAAGAGAGAGAGAGGGUGUGGCAUGAGAAGGAGAGAGAAAUUUUUGUUUCACAAAAUUCUAUUUUCAAACCCUAAGAGACUAUCCCUUUAGAUAGAUUCUUCCUUGAUCCAAAUCAGGAACCAAUUAACUUAAAAAAGGCACACCUUAUCUCAUAAAGAUUUUUGCCUUUUUAAUAUAAUUUUUUUUAUGAAAAUCUAUCUUAAUUGAUAGGACAUCAACCUCUUUUGGUAUGCAUAUGGAGCACCCCAGUC
rnacentral:lncRNA from 1 species